AAGCGAGUCAAACCACCCAAAAGAAGCAGUGGGAUUAAGUGAUGGGGUGACUGCGUACCUUUUGUAUAAUGGGUCAGCGACUUAUAUUUUGUAGCGAGGUUAACUGAAUAGGGGAGCCGAAGGGAAACCGAGUCUUAACUGGGCGAAUAGUUGCAAGGUAUAGACCCGAAACCCGGUGAUCUAGCCAUGGGCAGGUUGAAGGUUGGGUAACACUAACUGGAGGACCGAACCGACUAAUGUUGAAAAAUUAGCGGAUGACUUGUGGCUGGGGGUGAAAGGCCAAUCAAACCGGGAGAUAGCUGGUUCUCCCCGAAAUCUAUUUAGGUAGAGCCUUGAGGUGACACCUUUGGGGGUAGAGCACUGUUUCGGCUAGGGGGCCAUCCCGGCUUACCAACCCGAUGCAAACUACGAAUACCGAAGAGUGAUACUCAGGAGACACACGGCGGGUGCUAACGUCCGUCGUGGAGAGGGAAACAACCCAGACCGCCAGCUAAGGUCCCCAAGUCUAUAUUAAGUGGGAAACGAAGUGGGAAGGCUUAGACAGCUAGGAUGUUGGCUUAGAAGCA
rnacentral:rRNA from 1 species